GACGUAGGGCGCGAGCGUUUGUCCGGAUUUAUUGGGCGUAAAGAGCUCGUAGGCGGCUUGUCGCGUCGAACUGUGAAACCCGUGGCUCAACCGCGGCCUGGCAGUCGAUACGGGCAGGCUAGGAGUUCGGUAGGGGAGAUCGGAAUUCCUGGUGUAGGCGGUGAAAUGCGCAGAGUAUCAGGAGGAACACCGGUGGCGAAGGCGGAUCUCUGGGCCAUUACUGACGCUGAGGAGCGAAAGCGUGGGGAGCGAACAGG
rnacentral:rRNA from 1 species